ncrna:Xenorhabdus poinarii G6 L31-Gammaproteobacteria ribosomal protein leader
CGUGUGGUGUCUGGCGAUAACAAGGCUGGAUAGCGACACGGCCUGAACAGAGGU